rnacentral:rRNA from 1 species
UAUUCCCCACUGCUGCCUCCCGUAGGAGUCUGGGCCGUGUCUCAGUCCCAAUGUGGCCGUUCAACCUCUCAGUCCGGCUACCGAUCGUCGCCUUGGUGGGCCGUUACCCCGCCAACAAGCUAAUCGGACGCGAGUCCAUCUCUAAGCGAUAAAUCUUUGAUAUCAAAGUCAUGCGGCUUCAAUAUGUUAUGCGGUAUUAGCGAUCUUUUCAGAACGUUAUUCCCCUCUUAGAGGCAGGUUACUCACGCGUUACUCACCCGUCCGCCACUAAACUAAAAAUCCAUCAUUCCGAAGAAAUCUGUCAAAAUAGUUCCGUUCGACUUGCAUGUGUUAGGCACGCCGCCAGCGUUCAUCCUGAGCCAA